UACGUAGGUGGCAAGCGUUGUCCGGAAUUAUUGGGCGUAAAGCGCACGCAGGCGGUCCUUUAAGUCUGAUGUGAAAGCCCACGGCUCAACCGUGGAGGGUCAUUGGAAACUGGGGGACUUGAGUACAGGAGAGAAGAGUGGAAUUCCACGUGUAGCGGCGAAAUGCGUAGAGAUGUGGAGGAACACCAGUGGCGAAGGCGACUCUUUGGUCUGUAACUGACGCUGAGGCGCGAAAGCGUGGGGAGCAAACAGG
rnacentral:rRNA from 1 species